rnacentral:snRNA from 1 species
AAACUUACCUGACGCGAGAGGCACCUUGGUCAACUAGGAGGUCCUCUCAGGAUGAGGCCCUUUCAUUGCACUUCGACUGGGUUGACUCCUGCGAUUACCCCUAAUGUGGGUAACUCGAGCGUAUAAUUUCUGGUAGUGGGGACCUGGGUUCGCGCUCGUCCCCU